GAGUUUCUGCCGACUGCGCGCGGGUCACGCCGGGACUUGUAGUUAUUUUUGCGCGCCGAGCGGGGCCGGUCAAGCUGAGAGUUGGGGCGGUAAGGUUGGUACAAUUUUUCUUAAACUCUCCCUGUUCCCCACUCCCAUCCCUAUUCCCCUGACCUUACAGAACCAGAAACUCCGGGGCCACGGCCCAGCCAUCUGUGCUUUAACAAAUUCUCCGUGCUCAAGUUUCAGAACCACUGAUACUGUAUCUAGACACACUCUAACAUGCUUUUCAAAUAUUAGGCAUGGCUAUGUUAUUAAUAAUGAUUAUACGGAAGUGUGCUUGCCAUAUGUAUUCCUCACUGACAAUACCGCAGUAUUUGGUUCCAAAUGUCCAAAUACACGACCUUUUUUGGGCUUUAGUUUCCAUCUCUGUAAGUUGAAAAGAUUGUAUUCAAAACCGGUUCCACUGUAAUUCUGUAAUAAAGUGGUUUUAUAUUUAGAGAGCUAUCCGACAUCCUUGUUAGAUACUUUAUUAUAAAGCUCAGAAACUCAGUUUACACUCCAUGGGAAACUGUAGAAAGACAAAAUUAUAACACAAUGACACUCCUUAGAACUUUGUAGGUUUAUAUUCUUAAUGCAUAACUACACGUCAUUGCAUUUAGUGUUUUAUUACAGUGGUUGUUGUCACUUCAUUUUUCACUUACUCAUUUUUGACAAUGCCCAUGUUAAAGCUGCCAGAAGCCUUAGAGUUCUUUGAUUCAAAUGCUUAAAUUUUACAGUUCUUUUCAUCUUACAAAUAUUUAUUGAGCAUCUUCUAUGUGCAGGACGGGGAAAUACAGCUGGUAACAAGACAAGAUCUCAGCUCUCUUGGAUCUCAAAGGUUUUUGAAGGAAACAUAAUAAUGAAGGAAACAUUUAAGAUAAGAAGAAUAUGCUCCUAUAAGAAAUGCAAGAAACGGCAGCAUGAGAAUGCUAGCUGCGAACUGCUGUGUAUUCAUUGAAGAAUGAAAUGCCACUGAUAUGAGAGGAGGCAGCACAAGAACACCAGCUGCGAGGUGCCAUUGAGGAGGUAAAAUAUUUGUUGGUGACUGAAACGGUGUCACUGUGAGGUAUUGUGGAAGAGGUAAAGGCCAUGAAGGAAAAGGACAGACCCCUGCAAAAAGCACAAGAAGAGGCAGUGCAAGAAUGUGAGCUGCAAGAUCCAGUAAAGGAGAUAAAAGAUUCCUUAUAGAAUGAGACAGCAGUGCUGCCAGAUGCUCUGAAUGAGGCAAAGGCCAUGGAGGAGAAGGACGUACUCCUGAGGGAAGCACAGAAAGAGUGGCACAACAAUGCCAGCUGCGAGGCAUUGAGGUCAAGGAAACACCUGAAAGAUGGGAAGAUGGAGGUAAAUGAGAAAUGAGACCAGCUUGGUCCUGAGGCCAGAUGUCGUAUAAAGCGUGAAUGCAAAAUCCAGAGACUGACAUGGAGGGCUGCUAGAAUACAUGUAUAAUCAUAACAACCGAUUUGACCUCUCUGGUGAUUUUCUGAGCAUUGUUGUUUUCUCACUUGGCACCCUGAGGAUGGGCUUAGAUUCCCUGAAUUAAGCAAUUAUUUGUUUUUCUCAAUGUAGCACCUGUGAAAAGCCAGAAGUUAUUCUUCUUUUUUUUUAAUUGAGAUAUUAUUCACAAGGCAUACACCCAUCCCACUAUCCAAUUUCAGAACAUUUAUUUUCAUCCUCCCUCACAUAAACAUUUAUUUUCAUCCACCCCCACACAAAAAUAGUGCUCCCCCCAAUUAGCGGGCACUUACCUUCCCUCUCUCUCCCAGCCCCUGGCAACCACUAGUGUACUUUCUGUCUCCAUGGAUUUGUCUUCUGUGGAAAUUUUAUAUAAAUGAAGUCAUACAAUAUGUGGGCUUCUUACACUAAGCAUGCUAUUUUCAAGGUUUAUCUAUUUGUAGUCUAUAUCAAUACUUCCUUUCUCUUUUAUGGCUGAAUAUUAUUCCAUUGUAUGGAUAUGCUAUAUUUGUUUAUCCAUGCAUCAGGUGAUACACAUUUGAUGGCAUACAUUCUUUCCACUUUUUGUCUAUUUUGAAUAAUGCUGCUGUGGACAUUCAUGUGCAGACUCUUGUGUAGACAUAUUUUCAGUUCUCCUGAGUAUAUGUCUAGGAGUAGAAUUACUGAGUCAUAUAGUAAUUCUAUUUUAAAACUUUUGAGGAAUUGCCAGAGUGUUUUCCAACGUGGUUGUACCGUUUUACACUCCUACCAGCAAAGUAUGAGGGUUCCAGUUUCUUCAUGUCAUCAUUAGCACUUGACUAUAGCCAUCCUAGUAAGUGGGAAGUGGUAUCUCAUUAUAGUUUUGAUUUGUGUUUCCCUAAUGGCUAAUGAUGUUGAACAUCUUUUAUGUGCUUAAGUGCCAUUUGUAUAUUUUCUUUGGAGAUAUACAAAUAGGGAUCUAUUCAAGUCAUUUGUCCAUAUUUUAAUUAUUUGUAUUUUUAUUGUUAGUUGUAAGUGUUCUUUAUAUAUCCUGGCUAUAGGUCCUUUGUCAGAUAUGUGAUUUGCAGGUAUUUUCUCCCAGUCUGUGGGUUGUCUUUUUACUUUCUUGAUGGUGACCUUUGAAACCCAAAAGUGUUUAAUUUUGAUGAAGUCCAAUUUAUCUACUUUUUCCUUUGGUUACUUUGCUUUUUAGUGUUGCAUCUAAGAAACUGUGGCUUAAUCCAAAGUCACAAAGAUUUAUCUCUAUAUUUUUUUCUAAGAGUUUUGUAGUUUUAGCUCUUAGAUUCAGGCCUUUGAUCCACUUUUAAUUAAUUUUUGUAUAUGGUAUGAGGUAAGGGCCCAGCUUCAUUCUUUGCAUGUUGCUCUCCAGUUGAACCAUUUGUUGGAAAUAUUAUUCUUUCCCAGGUGAAUUGUUUUUUGGUGCUUUGCUGAAUAUCAAUUGAUGAUAAUUCUCCCAAGUUAUUCCUAAUAUCAAUAAUAAUGACUAAAAUUAUUGCUGGCUUUUGGUUUAAUAAAAACCCAUAAUCUCCUCCCUUUGAGUACUUUUGUUUCAGAGCUAACUGCAGGAUCUCAAACUUGUAUUUUUGACUAACACAACACUGAAUCCACCAAAGGAGGUGGUGGAGGGAGGGUAAUAGUGUAAGUCCCAGCACAAAUCUGAAGGCCCUAGAACCAGAAGUGCUGAUGUCUGAAAGUAGGAGAUGGAUGUCCCAGCUCACAAGAAGAGAGAAUGAAUUCACUCUUCCUCCACCUUUUUGUUUUUUGGACCUUCAAAUCAAAUGCUAAUCUUUUAUGGAAACACCCUCACAAAUGCACCCAGAAACAGUGUUUUUCCAGCUAUGUAAACAUCCUUUGGUCCAGUCAAGUUGACAUAAAAUUAACCAUGGGGAUUCCAUAAAUUUAAAAAGAUGCUUAUACAAAUAUAUGUUACAGGAAGUAAUUGUGGAAUGCUUUACAGAUACAAAGAGGGCAAACAUCAGUGCUUUGACCAGAGUUGGAAUAGACUGUCAGAAGACAAACUUUCCUCUGUACUUAAUUAGCUGGGUGACCUUUCCCAAUCACUUAAACUCUUGGAGACUCAGUUUCCUGGUCUAUUGAGUAUUGGUAAUAAUGCCAAGUCUAAAGACCUUUCUGUGUUAUUAUGAGAUUGAAAUAAUGCAGUAGGUGUAAAAGUGCUUUGGAAAAUUUUAACUUUUUAUUCUGGGCAUUCUGAGCAAUUCAGAGAUAAUUGCUUGCUUUCAUUCUAAAAACUGCCUUUGAUUUGUUUAUAGUACCAAUUUAGCCAUUCUGGCUUCGGGCGGUCCCAAGUAAUGUUUACCAAAAUAAAACAUUAAUGUGAUGUCGGAACUCAACCAAGAAUUAGGAGAAGUGCAAGUUGCAGCACUCCAAAAUCUUGCGACUACAGGCUAUCUACUGUUAAAAGAACAUAUGGGAUGUGAACAGUUCCCAGGAAUGUGUUGUUUUAAUUUGUCUGAUUUUUCUCAAACUAUUCAAAUUCAGUUAGACAAUAUCCAUCAUAUCAUUGAUAAGUUUUCACAAAUGCCUAGGGUGCCUAACUGGUUUUCUUGGUUUCACUGGAGAUGGCUGGUAAUUGUAGGUCUGCUUUGGUUAUGUAGCUGUAUUCCUAUUAUGUUAAUGUGUGUGCGCAAUUUACUUAGAAGUUUAAAACCUAUACAUGCUUAUGUUACUCUACAAGAAGUUAUGUCUAAGAAAUAAUCAAUCUUCCCAUGUUUUCUUCUGUCUGCUACUUCUAUAGCUUUUCUUCUUCCUUCCUAAUUACAACCCUUAAGUAGAAUUCGUGCCUCAUAACGAAAUUACCGAUUAUCAUAAUUCUUCCAAGUGGUAAAGAUACCUCAAGACAAAUGCUGGGCAUAGAAGCCACAGGGCAUAAAUCUGCAAAGAAGUAAAAAGCUAACCUUUUCAAAGAAUAUUGCUUCUCUCUCACUUACCAACUUUACAUUUCCCUGUAUGACUGGUUAGCCAGAGACGGGUAAGAUUCCUCAAGGGAGGAACAACCUAAGACAGGCACAGUCGCAGGGGGGCCAUCAGGUGAGAAAUUGGGGAUCAACACAGGUGAGGCUUAGAACCUCACCCCCCCUGUUUUGAGAGAAAUCUUCUGCAUCCAUGGAUGUUUUGUUGCCCUUGUCUAGCUUGGAUUAAUACUUAGUCUAUAGGCACACACCUGAUCAUCUACAUUUGCCCUCUUACAGCACUAAACUAUGUUUUCUACCUUUAUGUUGCAUCUACCUACCACUUCAGCAUUUUAUUUAAAAAAAAAAAAAAUAAUAAUAAUAAUAAGGGAGAAAUGUGGGAUUCAUAUAUAAAUCAAGUAUAAAAAUCAAACAAAUAUUCAUAUUUGACCUGGUUGUUUAUAGUUCAUAAUGCAUGAUCAAAACCGAAAGUUUCUGUGAUGACUGCCCUUGCACUGUUCACCAUGUAAGAACUUAUUCACUAUGUAAGAAUUUGUUCACCAUGUAAGAACUUGUUCAUUAUGCUUCAGAAGAUUGGAGACUGCUGAGAAUUAGGCUUGGGGUUGAUUAAUGAUUGUACAUCGAGUCCCCUAUACAG